rnacentral:lncRNA from 1 species
CUCUGAUACAUGAAAUGGUGGCCACCCAGUAAGUACACAGUUUGUCUGGUAGUCUAUCCAGCCGGACCAACAGAUGAAACACAUGGGGAACAGUGCAACAAACGAAGGGAAUCAUAAAAAAUAUGGACAAUAGUCAUAUUUGUGCACAAUCUCCAGUUUUGUCACAGGGCACAAAUAGUGUUUUCAAAUGCCAUAUAUCCCAGGCCAUAGUCAGAAGGUAGGAGGCGGGAAAGCAGUCCCCUCCAAGAACAUGUGUCAAGGUCUGUUCUGCCACAAUAUGCUAUUAGGCAGUGGCGUCGCUAGGGGGGGGCCAGAGGGGGCCAUGCCCCCCCCUACAUCAUGCUGUGCCCCCCCUUGGGCCCCCCCAAAUGCCGGCAACUUGCUGGCCAUGGGCUUCCCUCGGACUGUAACAGCCUGUCACAGCCAGGGGGAGGGAAUGCAGUGCUGAGGUGCUGGGUGCUGUCUGUGGCUGGAGGGAGCACUGAUUGGCUCCCCGCAAGGCCCCGCCCCCAAACGAAGCCCCGCCGAUAAGCCCCACCCCCGCCGUAAUGCAGCAGCCCAUGCUGCUGCAGAAGAUGGCUGCCUGACCCCCAGCAACAUCCUCCAGUGACAGGUAGGCUUGGGGGGGUGUAUACACACACACCACACCAUACACACACAUUACCCCCCAUACUGCCCCAUACACACACACUGCCCCCCAUACUGCCCCCCAUACACACACACUGCCCCCCCAUACACUCACACUGCCCCCCAUACUGCCCCAUACACACACAUUGCCCCCCCAUACACACACACACUGCCCCCAUACACUCACACUGCCCCCAUACUGCCCCAUACACACAUUCCCCCAUACACACACACUGCCCCCAUACACUCACACUGCCCCUAUACUGCCCCAUACACACACAUUGCCCCCCCAUACACACACACUGCCCUCCAUACAGCCUCCCAUACACACACACUGCCCUCCAUACAGCCUCCCAUAAACACACACUGCCGCACAUACAGCCUCCCAUACACACACAUUACCCCCCAUACUGCCCCAUACACACACACUGCCCCCCNNNNNNNNNNNNNNNNNNNNNNNNNNNNNNNNNNNNNNNNNNNNNNNNNNNNNNNNNNNNNNNNNNNNNNNNNNNNNNNNNNNNNNNNNNNNNNNNNNNNGCCCAGCAUCCCUGUAGGGCCAGUAGAGAGACUGCAGUCCUAUCUCUACCUGCCAUCUGUGGGUCUUCCCAGGACCAGUCUGUGAGGUUCCUCAACAUUUGCGCGUAAGGACCACUGGCUUCCACACCCGGUAACUCUGGCUGCUGCUGGGGAUCUGGGCCGGCUGCCCAGCAACCCGUUGGGCCCGGUGGAGAGACCUCGGUCCCAUCUCCACCUGCCUGUUGUGGUCCCUCACAGGACCAGUCUAUGAGGACCCCUACUUUGGGUUCCUCUGGCCGCCUCGGGGGAAACAUUUAACCUCCUCGAAUGCAGCCUCUCUUUGGCUGCUGUAACACUCCUUCCGCUGAGCAUAUUCUCUCUCUUUUGCCAGCCGGAAUUCUCGGUCCAUCCUUGCGUUUCGCUCAGCUGUGAUCUGGUUCCAGAUCGCUUGGAAUAUAUCCAUGGGCACAUUAUCACCAUACUGGGCCACUCGCUGCCUCACCUCGGCCAGCCAAUCAUCGCCAGAUCCUUUCAUACUUGUCUGCUCCAAGUCUCUGGAUACCUCUGCUCCCAGGGGCGCUGCACGAGUGCUAGCGUUGCCCUCAAUUUGUAACUCCACGAACGGUGUCUCCGAGCUGCUUUACCUCGCACUAGGACGCCAUCCCACCGCUUGCCACCAAUGUAACGGAACCGCUGGCACCCCGACUGGGUACCUCCGUUGAAGGAUGCUCCUAGCGCUCCCUGAGGACUCCAAGCACUGCAGCAGACACAACCACCGAACCGGAGACACAUACGAAUGCUCUCAAGCAUAUGAAUGCUGUAAGCAGCUGAACAGGAAAAGCAUACAAUCAGCUUACACUCCUGGCAAUCAGCAUACAAUCCAAUUCCCCCAAUAACGAGACGACACUUCGUUUUGAGGUCAAGCAGAACUGACUGUACUGGCACAUACAGGCUCUUUUAUUCACAAUCCACAAACAUAGUACUGCCCACAGGGUUUUGAAAUACAACCAAUCAGUACAAUACACACAGACACUUCCACACAAAAUCCUCCCCUCUGCCUGUGAUAUGAUUACUGAACACAAUGGUUAAUAUAAUUAUCACAGGCAGAGAAAUACAGUAUUAUAAAACAUAUCACAGGGACCCUAAAACAUGCAAUAACCCCAUAAAAAAUUCACCCAGAUCCGUUCAGUAGUUUGGAAGAUACAGUUUAAUGCAAAUUCCGAAGAACAUAUACAGGCUAUAUGAAAAAUAAUUACUGUAAAAUGUGUCCCCUGUUGUAUAGUUUAAAACUACUGCACGAUGUCUUUGUGCACCAAAUACUGGCGAGAUGGCACCGUGUAGAAAAGUCCAAACAGUGUCUGUGAAUUAAAAUGGCCACCAUUAAUUGUUCUCACCAUGUGCCUCUGAUACAUGAAAUGGUGGCCACCCAGUAACUCCACAGUUUGUCUGGUAGUCUAUCCAGCCAGACCAACAGAUUAAACACAUGGGGAACAGUGCAACAAACGAAGGGAAUCAUCAAAAAUAUGGACAAUAGUCAUAUUUGUGCACAAUCUCCAGUUUUGUCACAUGGCACAAAUAGUGUUUUCAAAUGCCAUAUAUCCCAGGGCCAUAGUCAGAAGGUAGGAGGCGGGCAAGCAGCCCCCUCCAAGAACACGUGGCGAGGUCUGUUCCGCCACAACG